CUACGGGCCGCUGCAGUGAGGAAUAUUGCGCAAUGGGGGGAACCCUGAUGCAGCAACGCCGCGUGGAGGAUGACGCAUUUCGGUGUGUAAACUCCUUUUAUAUGUCAAGAAAAUGACGGUAGCAUAUGAAUAAGCACCGGCUAACUCCGUGCCAGCAGCCGCGGUAUACGGAGGGUGCAAGCGUUACUCGGAAUCACUGGGCGUAAAGGACGCGUAGGCGGGUUGGAAAGUCAGGUGUGAAAUCCUACAGCUUAACUGUAGAACUGCACUUGAAACUUCUAAUCUAGGGUAUGGGAGGGGGAGAUGGAAUUAGUGGUGUAGGGGUAAAAUCCGUAGAUAUCACUAGGAAUACCUAAAGCGAAGGCGAUCUCCUGGAACAUUACUGACGCUAAGGCGUGAAAGCGUGGGGAGCAAACAGGAUUAGAUACCCGCGUAGUC
rnacentral:rRNA from 1 species